rnacentral:ncRNA from 1 species
UCGCUCAACGGAUAAAAGGUACUCUGGGGAUAACAGGCUGAUACCGCCCAAGAGUUCAUAUCGACGGCGGUGUUUGGCACCUCGAUGUCGGCUCAUCUCAUCCUGGGGCUGUAGCCGGUCCCAAGGGUAUGGCUGUUCGCCAUUUAAAGAGGUACGUGAGCUUUGAAGGGGGCUGCUCCUAGUACGAGAGGACCGGAGUGGACGAACCUCUGGUGUACCGGUUGUGACGCCAGUCGCAUCGCCGGGUAGCUAUGUUCGGAAGAGAUAACCGCUGAAAGCAUCUAAGCGGGAAACUCGCCUUAAGAUGAGAUAUCCCGGGGCUUCGAGCCCUUGAAGGGUCGUUCCAGACCAGGACGUUGAUAGGUCAGGUGUGUAAGUGCAGUAAUGCAUUGAGCUAACUGAUACUAAUUGCCCGUAAGGCUUGAUCCU